ACUCACAGAGAUAAAACUCUACUAAAUUUUUCAUUGAGAAAAAUCAGAAUUCUCUCCACUUCUAUCCACCUUCAAACUCAUUUUUUGCUUUCUAUUUCUCCAUUUCUACCAUCUGUUCUCAAGGCUCAGGCUGACUUAAGUAUCAGAGGAUUUUAAACUAGAGGGUAUCCCAUGAUUUUAGGACUUCUUUUACAGAUUUUGUUCAUGGUCCACAUCGGCACAACUUUCAAAUCUCUAGCUUGGUUCAAUACUAACCUCACCUACAGAGUUUU
rnacentral:lncRNA from 1 species